UUCAGUUCAUGAGAACUGGGCGUGUGCGUGGGUGUGAUGCUCUGCUCGUUCUCAUUCACCUGGCUACUUUGUUGAUCCUCCGCUGCCAUUGAGAAUUAAUGAGAAAACACAAGCUGACUUCACUUUUUAUGACUUGCUUACCUCAUAAGACGUUACGCCUCUAAGCAUAAGACCUGUGCAGCUGCAGCAACAGAUGCUUUUCCUCUUCUCCCAUGUAUGUGCACAACACUGGUGUCAUUUCAACUUGCUACCAGAGAGGGCAAUCUUGUGCAAAAACACUGGAACCUUUGCAAUGCACCUUCAAAGACCUUUUAAUCUCCGUACCAGAGCCAUACUCCGCUAUUUACUAACUGAAAAAUGCAUCGGACAGACCAGGGAACAUGUGGGGGGUGAUGGCAGGGCGUGGUCUGGGCAACUAAAACAAGGUAAAUAAAUGCUAAGUAAACAAAAGCUAAGCUAAUAAAUCGCUAACCUGAAAAUUGAGAGAAAGAUUACAAAUCUCACCUUUCAAACUCCAAUUCGCUAUUGAAUCAUGUAUGAGACAAAGCCGCUUUAUACCCCACAGCUGCAGGGCUAGUAAUGUCAGUUUUUGUCAUAGUCCAGGCCGAGUUGCAGGCCGGGUUUUCUCUCUCUCUCCUUCUCUGCAGGGUUGGACGGGCAGGUGCUUCACAUCUGAACGGUUUACCACCCUUCUUAAAGAGCUGGAGCCAGGAGGAGGGCGUCAGUUCGUUAAUGCUCAAAGCCUGGAUUCAAGCCCAAGACCGACUACUCUGUUGCUGAUGCUCCUUGAAGACUCCACCGAGACGUUCCAAGCUCAUGUUCUGGAUAUUGGGAAGUCUCAGAUCCACACCCUACGUUAGCCCUCCUACCUGAGCUCGCCUGCCUGUCUGCCCUCAGACCAUAACAACUGGAGAACAUCUCCCGGCCCUGCACCUACCACCAACCUUCCUGGACACCACCCUCCUGAACCCAAGCCUCACCGUCAGUCCAAUGAGUUUCUGUGCUCGCCACAAGCCAUCAUUCGAACCUUCACUUUCCCUUCCUUAGCAAAACCCAGAGACCCAGCCAGCAGACAUCACCUCUACGUUUAUUUUCUUUAAAAAAAAACUUUAAACUGA